GACGAACGCUGGCGGCGUGCCUAAUACAUGCAAGUAGAACGCUGAAGGAGGAGCUUGCUUCUCUGGAUGAGUUGCGAACGGGUGAGUAACGCGUAGGUAACCUGCCUGGUAGCGGGGGAUAACUAUUGGAAACGAUAGCUAAUACCGCAUAAGAGUAGAUGUUGCAUGACAUUUGCUUAAAAGGUGCAAUUGCAUCACUACCAGAUGGACCUGCGUUGUAUUAGCUAGUUGGUGAGGUAACGGCCCACCAAGGCAACGAUACAUAGCCGACCUGAGAGGGUGAUCGGCCACACUGGGACUGAGACACGGCCCAGACUCCUACGGGAGGCAACAGUAGGGAAUCUUCGGCAAUGGACGGAAGUCUGACCGAGCAACGCCGCGUGAGUGAAGAAGGUUUUCGGACCGUAAAGCUCUGUUGUAAGAGAAGAACGAGUGUGAGAGUGGAAAGUUCACACUGUG
rnacentral:rRNA from 1 species